rnacentral:rRNA from 1 species
UACGGGGGGAGCAAGCGUUGUUCGGAUUUACUGGGCGUAAAGGGCGCGUAGGCGGCCACCGCAAGUCAAUUGUGAAAUCUCCGGGCUUAACUCGGAAAGGUCAACUGAUACUGCGGGGCUAGAGUGCGGAAGGGGCAACUGGAAUUCUCGGUGUAGCGGUGAAAUGCGUAGAUAUCGAGAGGAACACCUGCGGCGAAGGCGGGUUGCUGGGCCGACACUGACGCUGAGGCGCGAAAGCUAGGGUAGCAAACGGG